rnacentral:tRNA from 1 species
GCAGUCGCGGCCGAGUGGUUAAGGCAAUAGACUAGAAAUCCAUUGGGGUCUCCCCGCACAGGUUCGAAUCUUGUCGACUGCG